GAUGAACGCUGGCGGCGUGUCUAAUACAUGCAAGUCGAGCGAAUGGAUUAAGAGCUUGCUCUUAUGAAGUUAGCGGCGGACGGGUGAGUAACACGUGGGUAACCUGCCCAUAAGACUGGGAUAACUCCGGGAAACCGGGGCUAGUACCGGAUAACAUUUUGAACCGCAUGGUUCGGAAUUGAAAGGCGGCUUCGGCUGUCACUUAUGGAUGGACCCGCGUCGCAUUAGCUAGUUGGUGAGGUAACGGCUCACCAAGGCAACGAUGCGUAGCCGACCUGAGAGGGUGAUCGGCCACACUGGGACUGAGACACGGCCCAGACUCCUACGGGAGGCGGCAGUAGGGAAUCUUCCGCAAUGGACGAAAGUCUGACGGAGCAACGCCGCGUGAGUGAUGAAGGCUUUCGGGUCGUAAAACUCUGUUGUUAGGGAAGAACAAGUGCUAGUUGAAUAAGCUGGCACCUUGACGGUACCUAACCAGAAAGCCACGGCUAACUACGUGCCAGCAGCCGCCGUAA
rnacentral:rRNA from 1 species